rnacentral:rRNA from 1 species
GUGGGGAAUAUUGCACAAUGGGCGCAAGCCUGAUGCAGCAACGCCGCGUGAGGGACGACGGCCUUCGGGUUGUAAACCUCUUUUAGCAGGGAAGAAGCGAAAGUGACGGUACCUGCAGAAAAAGCACCGGCUAACUACGUGCCAGCAGCCGCGGUAAUACGUAGGGUGCAAGCGUUGUCCGGAAUUAUUGGGCGUAAAGAGCUCGUAGGCGGUUUGUCGCGUCUGAUGUGAAAACCCGAGGCUCAACCUCGGGCCUGCAGUGGGUACGGGCAGACUAGAGUGCGGUAGGGGAGAUUGGAAUUCCUGGUGUAGCGGUGGAAUGCGCAGAUAUCAGGAGGAACACCGAUGGCGAAGGCAGAUCUCUGGGCCGUAACUGACGCUGAGGAGCGAAAGCGUGGGGAGCGAACAGGAUUAGAAACCCGUGUAGUCC